rnacentral:rRNA from 1 species
GAUGAACGCUGGCGGCGUGCCUAAUACAUGCAAGUCGAACGCUGGAAAUCUAGCUUGCUAGAUUGAAGGAGUGGCGAACGGGUGAGUAGUACAUAAGCAACCUACCCACGAAGACUGGGAUAAUCUCUGGAAACGGGGACUAAUACCGGAUAGGUAAUCGGAAGGCAUCUUCUGAUUAUUAAAGGUUAAAAACACUGGUGGAUGGGCUUAUGGCGCAUUAGUUAGUUGGUGAGGUAACGGCCCACCAAGACGAUGAUUCGUAGCCGGCCUGAGAGGGUGAACGGCGACAUUGGGACUGAGACACGGCCCAGACUCCUACGGGAGGCAGCAGUAGGGAAGUUUCGGCAAUGGGGGAAACCCUGACCGAGCAACGCCGCGUGAGUGAUGACGGCCUUCGGGUUGUAAAGCUCUGUUGUAAGGGAAGAACGGUAGAUAGAGAAUAUCUAAAUGACGGUACCUUACCAGAAAGCCACGGCUAACUACGUG